CCAGACUCCUACGGGAGGCAGCAGUAGGGAAUCUUGCGCAAUGGGCGAAAGCCUGACGCAGCAAUGCCGCGUGCGGGACGAAGGCCCUAGGGUCGUAAACCGCUUUCAGUAGGGACGAAAAUGACGGUACCUGCAGAAGAAGCUCCGGCCAACUACGUGCCAGCAGCCGCGGUGAUACGUAGGGAGCAAGCGUUGUCCGGAAUUACUGGGCGUAAAGGGCUCGUAGGUGGUUGAGUAAGUCAGAUGUGAAAUCUCAGGGCCCAACCCUGAGCCUGCAUUUGAUACUGCUCUGACUAGAGUCCGGUAGGGGAGUGCGGAACUCCUGGUGUAGCGGUGAAAUGCGCAGAUAUCAGGAAGAACACCGACAGCGAAGGCAGCACUCUGGGCCGGUACUGACACUGAGGAGCGAAAGCAUGGGUAGCAAACAGGAUUAGAUACCCUGGUAGUCCAUGCCGUAAACGUUGGGCACUAGGUGUGGGGAGAACUCAACUCUCUCCGCGCCGUAGCUAACGCAUUAAGUGCCCCGCCUGGGGAGUACGGCCGCAAGGCUAAAACUCAAAGGAAUUGACGGGGGCCCGCACAAGCGGCGGAGCAUGUUGCUUAAUUCGAGGCAACGCGAAGAACCUUACCUGGGUUGAACUACGUGGGAAAAGCCGCAGAGAUGCGGUGUCCUUCGGGGUCCACGAUAGGUGGUGCAUGGCUGUCGUCAGCUCGUGUCGUGAGAUGUUGGGUUAAGUCCCGCAACGAGCGCAACCCUUGUCCUAUGUUGCCAGCGGGUAAAGCCGGGGACUCGUAGGAGACUGCCGGGGUCAACUCGGAGGAAGGUGGGGACGACGUCAAGUCAUCAUGCCCCUUAUGUCCAGGGCUGCAAACAUGCUACAAUGGCCGGUACAAAGGGCAGCUAAACCGCGAGGUCAAGCGAAUCCCAAAAAGCCGGUCUCAGUUCGGAUUGAAGUCUGCAACUCGACUUCAUGAAGCUGGAGUCGCUAGUAAUCCCGGAUCAGCAACGCCGGGGUGAAUACGUUCCCGGGCCUUGUACACACCGCCCGUCACACGCCGAAAGUCGAUAACACCCGAAGUCAGUGGCCCAACCCUUUAGGGAGGGAGCUGCCGAAGGUGGGAUUGGCGAUUGGGGUGAAGUCGUAACAAGGUAGCCGUACCGGAAGGUGCGGCUGGAUCACCUCCUUU
rnacentral:rRNA from 1 species